rnacentral:snoRNA from 1 species
AAGCCAACAGACUACCCUGUGUAUCUGAACAUGUUUCUGCAGAAAUUUAGAAAAACAACAGCAAUUGUGAUGCCAUGUUAUGAGCCUUAAGGAUGACUGAGGUCGUUAAGUUCCCCCCAAAUGGUUCCAAUA